GGUAUACACAUCUAAAAGAGCCUGCAAUUUUUUUUUGCAGAAAAAAAGCUUCAAUCUUUGAGAACUUAUGAUAUCCAAUAUCAUCAAGUACAAGCAGCAAAAGCUAUAUAGCAACUUCAAGAGCACAUGUUAGUUUUAGCGGACAAGGUAUAUUGCAAUAGAAACCACAUAUUAUCUAAAAUAGUUUGUAGCAAGGUCUCAACUCUCAACCACUAGCAACACCUCAUAAUGCCUUACACUUGACAUCUUUUCUCAAUAUAUUUCACAUCAAUGGCUAAAUUCUGAUGACCAGUUUAUGAUUGAACAUAAAGUCAUAACAAAUUUACAAAGUAUAUGGUGAUGGUAACAAAAAAAAA
rnacentral:misc_RNA from 1 species